CAGCCGUUGCCAUGAUUCGGAGAGGGAGCAGCCAGAAAGUUGGAAACAUGGGUUAAAUGGGCGUUCGUGCAUAGGCAAAGCUUAGUGAGGGAGUCAAAGGUUCUGGAGACUGGAAAGCAACCAGGCAUGAAGGAUUCAGCAAUGGAGGCACUGGUUUCCCUGGGUGCAGGAAUGUCACAGAGCAGUGAGGAGGAGGUGUAAAGAGGCUCCGGGAGCCCAGCUGAGCGGCUUAGAGUAAAACACGAUGGAGAAAUGGGAAAACAUUCUAUUAGCGGCCCCGUCUCCCAUGACAUUGCUGCGGCUGACGGAACUUCUUAUCCCUCUGCAACAGCAGCAUACUAUAAAAUAGUGCUUACAUUGUAGCUUUAUUUGCAAUGUGUACAAGCAGAAAAUAAAUCAAUAAAGCAAAUAAAGUAACAAACACAA